rnacentral:rRNA from 1 species
UGCCAGCAGCCGCGGUAAUACAGAGGGUGCGAGCGUUAAUCGGAAUUACUGGGCGUAAAGCGUGCGUAGGUUGGAAUAUCAGUCAGGUGUGAAAAGCCAGAGCUUACCGUUGGUCGGUCGCUCGAUACUGUAUUUCUAGAGUCUUGGAGAGGAUAGGGGAAUUUCCGGUGUAGCGGUGAAAUGCGUAGAUAUCGGAAGGAACACCAGUUGCGAAGGCGCCUAUCUGGCCAUAGACUGACACUGAGGCACGAAAGCGUGGGUAGCGAACAGGAUUAGAUA